AGAGUUUGAUCCUGGCUCAGAGCGAACGCUGGCGGCAGGCUUAACACAUGCAAGUCGAGCGGGCGUAGCAAUACGUCAGCGGCAGACGGGUGAGUAACGCGUGGGAACGUACCUUUUGGUUCGGAACAACACAGGGAAACUUGUGCUAAUACCGGAUAAGCCCUUACGGGGAAAGAUUUAUCGCCGAAAGAUCGGCCCGCGUCUGAUUAGCUAGUUGGUGAGGUAACGGCUCACCAAGGCGACGAUCAGUAGCUGGUCUGAGAGGAUGAUCAGCCACAUUGGGACUGAGACACGGCCCAAACUCCUACGGGAGGCAGCAGUGGGGAAUAUUGGACAAUGGGCGCAAGCCUGAUCCAGCCAUGCCGCGUGAGUGAUGAAGGCCCUAGGGUUGUAAAGCUCUUUUGUGCGGGAAGAUAAUGACGGUACCGCAAGAAUAAGCCCCGGCUAACUUCGUGCCAGCAGCCGCGGUAAUACGAAGGGGGCUAGCGUUGCUCGGAAUCACUGGGCGUAAAGGGUGCGUAGGCGGGUCUUUAAGUCAGGGGUGAAAUCCUGGAGCUCAACUCCAGAACUGCCUUUGAUACUGAAGAUCUUGAGUUCGGGAGAGGUGAGUGGAACUGCGAGUGUAGAGGUGAAAUUCGUAGAUAUUCGCAAGAACACCAGUGGCGAAGGCGGCUCACUGGCCCGAUACU
rnacentral:rRNA from 1 species